rnacentral:lncRNA from 1 species
CCGCGCCCCGCCACGGCCGCGGCACCUCGGCGGUGCCCACGGCCCGGAGCCCCCGAGCCGCCGGGUGGCACCUCCCGGGUGGCCCGGCCACGCUCGGAGGUGGCCCAAGGUCCUGACGAGUCCCAGGUGUCCCUGGUGGGGUCACAGGUGUCCCUGCCAGGGUCAGAGGUGGCUCUGGGUCCUCUGACACCCCCCAGGUGUCCCUGGUGGAAGGUGGCCCCGGGUCCUGAACCCCCUCAGGUGUCCCUGGCAUGGUCACAGGUGUCCCUGCCAGGCUUGGAGGUGGCUCUGGGUCCUCUGACACCCCCAGGUGUCCCUGCCAGGGAGUGGCCCCGGGUCCUGACCCUCCCCAGGUGUCCCCGGCAGGGUCACAGUUGUCCCUGCCAGGCUCGGAGGUGGCUCCAGAUCCUGACACCACCCUGAUGUCCCUGGCAUGGUCACAGUUGUCCCUGCCAGGCUCGGAGGUGGCUCCGGGUCCUCUGACACCCCCAGGUGUCCCUGCCAGGGGUGGCCCCGGGUCCCCCCGGUGUCCCCGUCGGGCUCGGAGGCGGCGGCUCCAGCGGGGCCAUCCCGGCGGCGCUCCCGGAGAAAGGAAGGAAGGAAAGGAGGAAAGGAGGAAGGAAGGAAAGGAGGAAGGAAUGAAAGGAAGAAGGGCCGGGACGGCUCCAGCGGCGGCCGUGCCACCCCGAGCCGUGCCAGGCCGUGCCAGGAGAGCCCCCCCCGCCAGGCGGAUCCCCCCGGACUCUGAGCUGCGGGUGAGAGGGAGCGAGGAGCGCAUGGAUCGAAGCAUGUUUGGGAAUGUCGGGAGGCUGGGGAGGGGGGGAAAAUCCCGCAGCAAAAAAAGAAGAAAAAAAAAAACUAACAAAAAAACGACACAAAAAAAAAAAAGCUUUGGCAAAGUUUAGAGGGGAGGGGGCGGGGGGGUGGGAAAAGUUUGAUUUUUCUCUUGGCUUGGGGUCUUGUUUUUCCAAAGUGGGGGGGAAAGCGUUGAUGGGAAAUUAUUUAAUCUCCGUGCAUUUAUCUAGAGAGCAGCUGAUAAGCCCCACGAGAUAACGAAUUCCAGGAUCCUCCCCCCCUCCCCCUCCCCCACCCCUUCCGCCCCCCCCCC